rnacentral:rRNA from 1 species
GGGUGCGAGCGUUAUCCGGGAAUUAUUGGGCGUAAAGAGCUCGUAGGCGGUUUGUCGCGUCUGUCGUGAAAGUCCGGGGCUUAACCCCGGAUCUGCGGUGGGUACGGGCAGACUAGAGUGCAGUAGGGGAGACUGGAAUUCCUGGUGUAGCGGUGGAAUGCGCAGAUAUCAGGAGGAACACCGAUGGCGAAGGCAGGUCUCUGGGCUGUAACUGACGCUGAGGAGCGAAAGCAUGGGGAGCGAACAGGAUUAGAUACCCUGGUAGUCCAUGCCGUAAACGUUGGGCACUAGGUGUGGGGACCAUUCCACGGUUUCCGCGCCGCAGCUAACGCAUUAAGUGCCCCGCCUGGGGAGUACGGCCGCAAGGCUAAAACUCAAAGGAAUUGACGGGGGCCCGCACAAGCGGCGGAGCAUGCGGAUUAAUUCGAUGCAACGCGAAGAACCUUACCAAGGCUUGACAUGUUCUCGAUCGCCGUAGAGAUACGGUUUCCCCUUUGGGGCGGGUUCACAGGUGGUGCAUGGUUGUCGUCAGCUCGUGUCGUGAGAUGUUGGGUUAAGUCCCGCAACGAGCGCAACCCUCGUUCCAUGUUGCCAGCACGUAGUGGUGGGGACUCAUGGGAGACUGCCGGGGUCAACUCGGAGGAAGGUGAGGACGACGUCAAAUCAUCAUGCCCCUUAUGUCUUGGGCUUCACGCAUGCUACAAUGGCCGGUACAAUGGGUUGCGAUACUGUGAGGUGGAGCUAAUCCCAAAAAGCCGGUCUCAGUUCGGAUUGGGGUCUGCAACUCGACCCCAUGAAGUCGGAGUCGCUAGUAAUCGCAGAUCAGCAACGCUGCGGUGAAUACGUUCCCGGGCCUUGUACACACCGCCCGUCAAGUCACGAAAGUCGGUAACACCCGAAGCCGGUGGCCUAACCCUUGUGGGGGGAGCCGUCGAAGGUGGGACCAGCGA